AUGAGUUAUUGGGUAGGUGCAGGCGCAGACACAGGCACUGUGGAAGGCCGUAGAGAUGAUGAUGCUGAUGAUGCGAGCAGCAGCAAACUCAACAAACAGAGACACUUGUUGUUGUCAUGCAGUAGUAAUAGUAAUAGUAAUAAGCCAGCGAAUGGAGGGAGAGAAAGUGAUAGGAGAAAGCAGCAGGCUAUGGCUGAAGAGUCCCUUCACAAAGUCAUGUACUUAAAUUGUUGGGCACAAAGCUAG
rnacentral:lncRNA from 1 species